UUGCCAUGGAAACGGCGCGGGGCGCGACCGCACUACUGCAACUGUCAGCAAAACUCCGUCUCUCGCUGUUGUUUUCACUGCUUUCAGCAGCAACACAAAUAAUCCCUCUUCAACAGAGGAAAGCUCAAAAAUGUCAACAUUUCUGAAGAAAGAUGCUGCCAGAGAAGUGGAAAACACAGACAGAGAUCCUUCCAUGCAGAUGCCCUGCACCGUAGCAGAGUUGAGCUGAUCAUCAUCUCUAAGGCGCUAUCACCAUUAUGAUUAGAUGCUCAGCAAGUUCACUAGAGAUUACAGCAGCUCCGUGUGGAUCCAGCCUCACUCGUGAAGACUUCAGAUGACACCAACACUCACAAAGACUUCAGAUGGUGGCAACUAUAGAUGGACACAAAACUGCCAGAUAUUGCAUUGGCCCGGUUUCACACACAGGGUUCAGAUUAAACCAGGUUUAGGCCUUCGUUAAAUUAGGAUAUUUAAGUAGCUUUUUAAAAUGUACUUCAGAAAAAAAAAGAAGGAAAAAAAAAACAUUACUGGUGUGCAUCUCUUGAGACAAACCAGUGACAUUGAAAUAUUUUAAGAUAUGUCUGUGCAAGUUGCUUCCAGUUAAGACAGUUCAAAAAUGCAUUUUAGUCUGGGACUAUCUUAAGCCUUUUCUGUGGAACCAGGGAAGGGAAGGGAACGUUUGCAUGACAGUUUUGCUGACAAAUAAACAGGAAUAUCUUAGUAUACCUAACUAGGAGAAAGAGUAAACAUUGU